rnacentral:rRNA from 1 species
GAUGAACGCUGGCGGCGUGCCUAAUACAUGCAAGUCGAGCGAACAGACGAGGCGCUUGCUCCUCUGACGUUAGCGGCGGACGGGUGAGUAACACGUGGAUAACCUACCUAUAAGACUGGGAUAACUUCGGGAAACCGGCGCUAAUACCGGAUAAUAUAUUGAACCGCAUGGUUCAAUAGUGAAAGUCGGUUUUGCUGUCUCUUCUAGAUGGAUCCGCGCCGCAUUAGCUAGUUGGUAAGGUAACGGCUUACCAAGGCGACGAGGCGUAGCCGACCUGAGAGGGGGAUAGGCCACACUGGAACGGAGACACGGUCCAGACGCCUACGGGAGGCAGCAGUAGGGAAUCGUCCGCAAUGGGCGAAAGCAUGACGGAGCAACGCCGCGUGAGAGAUGAAGGUCUUCGGAUCGUAAAACUCUGUUAUGAGGGAAGAACAAAUGUGUAAGUAACUAUGCACGGCUUGACGGUACCUAAUCAGAAAGCCACGGCUAACUACGUG